UUCAGAGGGGGACAACAGUUGGAAACGACUGCUAAUACCGCAUACGAUCUAAUCUCGGCAUCGAGGAUAGAUGAAAGGUGGCCUCUACAUGUAAGCUAUCACUGAAGGAGGGGAUUGCGUCUGAUUAGCUAGUUGGAGGGGUAACGGCCCACCAAGGCGAUGAUCAGUAGCCGGUCUGAGAGGAUGAACGGCCACAUUGGGACUGAGACACGGCCCAG
rnacentral:rRNA from 1 species